rnacentral:rRNA from 1 species
UACCAGCACCCCGAGUGGUCGGGACGAUUAUUGGGCCUAAAGCGUCCGUAGCCGGUCCUGCAAGUCUUCCGUUAAAUCCAACUGCUUAACAGGUGGGCUGCGGAAGAUACUAUAGAGCUAGGAGGCGGGAGAGGCAAGCGGUACUCGAUGGGUAGGGGUAAAAUCCGUUGAUCCAUUGAAGACCACCAGUGGCGAAGGCGGCUUGCCAGAACGCGCUCGACGGUGAGGGAUGAAAGCUGGGGGAGCAAACCGG